AACGAACGCUGGCGGCAUGCCUAACACAUGCAAGUCGAACGAGACCUUCGGGUCUAGUGGCGCACGGGUGCGUAGCGCGUGGGAAUCUGCCCUUGGGUUCGGAACAACAGUUGGAAACGACUGCUAAUACCGGAUGAUGACUUCGGUCCAAAGAUUUAUCGCCCAAGGAUGAGCCCGCGUAGGAUUAGCUUGUUGGUGAGGUAAAAGCUCACCAAGGCGACGAUCCUUAGCUGGUCUGAGAGGAUGAUCAGCCACACUGGGACUGAGACACGGCCCAGACUCCUACGGGAGGCAGCAGUGGGGAAUAUUGGACAAUGGGCGAAAGCCUGAUCCAGCAAUGCCGCGUGAGUGAUGAAGGCCUUAGGGUUGUAAAGCUCUUUUACCCGGGAUGAUAAUGACAGUACCGGGAGAAUAAGCCCCGGCUAACUCCGUGCCAGCCGCCGCGGUAACAC
rnacentral:rRNA from 1 species